rnacentral:rRNA from 1 species
UGAGGAAUAUUGGUCAAUGGGCGGGAGCCUGAACCAGCCAAGCCGCGUGAGGGAAGAAGGCCCUAUGGGUCGUAAACCUCUUUUGUCAGGGAACAAAAGCGAGUAUGUAUACUAGUCUGAGUGUACCUGAAGAAAAAGCAUCGGCUAACUCCGUGCCAGCAGCCGCGGUAAUACGGAGGAUGCGAGCGUUAUCCGGAUUUAUUGGGUUUAAAGGGUGCGUAGGCGGCGAUGCAAGUCAGCGGUAAAAGCCCGGGGCUCAACCCCGGCGAGCCGUUGAAACUGCAGUGCUAGAGAAGGCGAGAGGUACGCGGAAUGCGCAGUGUAGCGGUGAAAUGCUUAGAUAUUGCGCAGAACUCCGAUUGCGAAGGCAGCGUACUGGCGCCUGACUGACGCUGAGGCACGAAAGCGUGGGGAUCGAAUAGGAUUAGAUACCC